GAUGAACGCUGGCGGCGUGCCUAAUACAUGCAAGUCGAGCGAACAGACGAGGAGCUUGCUCCUCUGACGUUAGCGGCGGACGGGUGAGUAACACGUGGAUAACCUACCUAUAAGACUGGGAUAACUUCGGGAAACCGGAGCUAAUACCGGAUAAUAUAUUGAACCGCAUGGUUCAAUAGUUAAAGACGGUUUUGCUGUCACUAAUAGAUUGAUCCGCGCCGCAUUAGCUAGUUGGUAAGGUAACGGCUUACCAAGGCAACGAUGCGUAGACGACCUGAGAGGGUGGUCGGCCACACUGGAAGUGAGACACGGCCCAGACUCCUACGGGAGGCAGCAGUAGGGAAUCUUCCGCAAUGGGCGAAAGCGUGACGGAGCAACGCCGCGGGAGUGAUGAAGGUCUUCGGAUCGUAAAACUCUGUUAGUAGGGAAGAACAAAUGUGUAAGUAACUAUGCACGUCUUGACGGUACCUAAUCAGAAAGCCACGGCUAACUACGUG
rnacentral:rRNA from 1 species